UACGGAAGGGGCUAGCGUUGUUCGGAAUUACUGGGCGUAAAGCGCGCGUAGGCGGCUUGGCAAGUGAGGCGUGAAAGCCCUGGGCUCAACCUGGGAACGGCGCUUCAGACUGCUUGGCUUGAGUCCGGGAGAGGGUGGUGGAAUUCCCAGUGUAGAGGUGAAAUUCGUAGAUAUUGGGAGGAACACCGGUGGCGAAGGCGGCCACCUGGCCCGGCACUGACGCUGAAGUGCGAAAGCGUGGGGAGCAAACAGG
rnacentral:rRNA from 1 species